CCAACUUUUAAUUAUUACCGCAAUCACUAUCACCACAGUUGCCACCACUACGAAAGCGAUAGCUCCAAGCGCUAUCGAGUUUAGAUGGACAGUGCACCAGACCGUCGCACCAAAGCUUUGAGCUUAUACAAGCUCCCAACUCUGGACAACUGAAAUGAAAACCGAUAUUAAAACUAAUAAUAAACUAAUAACAAUUCUAUUCAGUUUAAAACCAAUAAAGCAAAAAUGCCUGUAAAUGGGCGAUAGGUAAGUUCAUUGUAGGUAGAGAGAAGCGUAUGAAUAAAUGUGAGACAGAAUUUGG